rnacentral:rRNA from 1 species
CCUACGGGUGGCUGCAGUGGGGAAUAUUGGGCAAUGGGCGCAAGCCUGACCCAGCAACGCCGCGUGAAGGAAGAAGGCUUUCGGGUUGUAAACUUCUUUUGUCAGGGACGAAGCAAGUGACGGUACCUGACGAAUAAGCCACGGCUAACUACGUGCCAGCAGCCGCGGUAAUACGUAGGUGGCAAGCGUUAUCCGGAUUUACUGGGUGUAAAGGGCGUGUAGGCGGGGAGGCAAGUCAGAUGUGAAAACCACGGGCUCAACCUGUGGCCUGCAUUUGAAACUGUUUUUCUUGAGUGCUGGAGAGGAAAGCGAAAUUCGGGGGGGAGCGGUGAAAUGCGUAGAUAGACGGAGGAACACCAGUGGCGAAGGCGGAUUGCUGGACAGUAACUGACGCUGAGGCUCGAAAGCGUGGGGAGCAAACAGGAUUAGAUACCCUGGUAGUC